GAUGAACGCUGGCGGCGUGCCUAAUACAUGCAAGUCGAGCGAACGGACGAGAAGCUUGCUGGUCGGAUGUUAGCGGCGGACGGGGGAGUAACACGUGGAGAAUCUACCUAUAAGACUGGGAUAACUACGGGAAACCGGAGCGAAUACCGGAUAAUAUUUUGAACCGCAUGGUUCAAAAGUGAAAGACGGUCUUGGUGUCACUGAUAGAUGGACCCGCGGUGCAUUAGCUAGUUGGUAAGGUAACGGCUUACCAAGGCAACGAUGCAUAGCCGACCUGAGAGGGUGGUCGGCCACACUGGAACUGAGACACGGUCGCGACUCCUACGGGAGGCAGCAGUAGGGAGUCUUCCGCAAUGGGCGGAAGCAUGACGGAGCAGCGCCGCGUGAGUGAUGAAGGUCUUCUGCUCGUAAUACUCUGUUAUUAGGGAAGAACAUAUGUGUAAGUGUCUGUGCACAUCUUGACGGUACCUAGUCAGAAAGCCACGGCUAACUACGUG
rnacentral:rRNA from 1 species